rnacentral:rRNA from 1 species
AACGAACGCUGGCGGCAGGCCUAACACAUGCAAGUCGAACGCCGUAGCAAUACGGAGUGGCAGACGGGUGAGUAACACGUGGGAACGUACCCUUCGGUUCGGGAUAACUCAGGGAAACUUGAGCUAAUACCGGAUACGUCCGAGAGGAGAAAGAUUUAUCGCCGAGGGAUCGGCCCGCGUCUGAUUAGCUUGUUGGUGAGGUAACGGCUCACCAAGGCGACGAUCAGUAGCUGGUCGAGAGGAUGAUCAGCCACAUUGGGACUGAGACACGGCCCAAACUCCUACGGGAGGCAGCAGUGGGGAAUAUUGGACAAUGGGCGCAAGCCUGAUCCAGCCAUGCCGCGUGAGUGAUGAAGGCCCUAGGGUUGUAAAGCUCUUUCGCACGCGACGAUGAUGACGGUAGCGUGAGAAGAAGCCCCGGNUAACUUCGUGCCAGCAGCCGCCG